GGCUCUAAAGAAAGGAGGCCUCCACGUGGCUAGAGCUGGAAACAUAUGGAAACUAUGAAUGUUUAAAUAAACUUCAAAUUCAUGUUUUCCUUAUGGCUAACUUCCUUAUUUAUACUAGUGUGUAUGUGUGUGUAUUUGUAUCUCUUUAAUUUAAUCGGGAGUGUUGCACUAAAAUUCUAUUUGGUAUAAAUGAUAGUACUUAUAGUAUCUUGAAAUUUCAUUGACCUAAGAGAUAUUUCAAAUCUGGGGUUUCAUGUUUCAUGCAAGCAUGUAGGUCUACAAAACUUUAUUUAAAAUAUUUGUAAAAUCACAAGCCCCCCUCAUAGGCAAAUAAAUGUAUUGUAUGAAAAUAAGAUAUGUAUGUCCUUCUCUUGACCCACACUUUGAUAUUAUUAGAAUGAACUGGCAGUUUAUGAAAACAUAUCUGUCAUCUCAUAUUGUAAUAUGAUAAUUAUGAUGUUUAUUCACCUCAUUAAGGACCCGGGGGUGGGAGGGUAUGUACAGUUUAAAUAGAAGGUAACUAUAACAAUAUGAAAUAAAUAACAAUCAUGCAGAUGUACUACUACUGCAAGAGUUCACAUUGCUGCACUGCACACAUUUAACAUACAUGUAGUGUUACAUAUGUAAUACUGAUUUCAGACAAGAUUUUAAAAAUUAACAUAAUAAAAUACAUGUUAUGUGUGUAAUUUUCAAUAUAUCAGCAUUUUAAAGUUCACUAAACAUGCAUUGAGACACACAAUUUUAAAAUUGACAUUGUCUGACACAGUAUAAUUAAUGAUUAAUACUGACUGUGCAAAUAUUAAUUAUGAUGAUUUUUUUCUAAGCAUCAUCCUAAGGACCAGUGCAAGUUGAAAUGGGAUUCCAGCCAACAACUUCAACAGCAAUUUGCCAUGAAAAUCAGCAAGAAAGGUACUUCAUUUACAUUGAUGAUGUCAUAUCCCCUGGACCCCACAACUUUACAGGUUACAGAGAAAAUUCAAGAACUUCUGCAAAAUGUGGGACUUGGAUAGAAUCAAUAAUGUAUUUGUGAGCCCAGAGCAAUGGAUAUAUUGUGCAACAUACUAAAGUGUGAAUUUAAUGGAAAACAAGUACAUGUACUCAUGUAUUACAUGUCUUUUUUAAAGACAAUACUAUUGUAUAAAUAUAGAGGAAGUGUCAUUGUUGAUUAUUCUAAGUUUUUGAUAUAUCAAAAUCAGUAAACAUUUCUAAAUGAAAAUAAAAUACCAAUUUUAUAACUUUAA